GUGCCAGCGCCGCGGUAAUACCGGCAGCCCGAGUGAUGGCCGAUCUUAUUGGGCCUAAAGCGUCCGUAGCCGGCCUCGCAAGUCCGUCGGGAAAUCCAGUAGCUCAACUACUGGGCGUCCGGCGGAAACUACAAGGCUUGGGACCGGAAGGCUCGAGGGGUACGUCCGGGGUAGGAGUGAAAUCCUGUAAUCCCGAACGGACCACCGAUGGCGAAAGCAUCUCGAGAAAACGGAUCCGACAGUGAGGGACGAAAGCUAGGGUCUCGAACCGGAUUAGAAACCCGGGUAGUCC
rnacentral:rRNA from 1 species